AGGGGGUGUGGGGAGCAUGG
rnacentral:miRNA from 1 species